GCAGACGGGUGAGUAAUGCAUAGGAAUCUACCUAGUAGUAUGGGAUAGCCACUAGAAAUGGUGGGUAAUACUGUAUAAUCCCUGCGGGGGAAAGAUUUAUCGCUAUUAGAUGAGCCUAUGUUAGAUUAGCUAGUUGGUAGGGUAAAGGCCUACCAAGGCAGUGAUCUAUAGCUGGUCUGAGAGGAUGAUCAGCCACACUGGAACUGAGAUACGGUCCAGACUCCUACGGGAGGCAGCAGUGGGGAAUAUUGGACAAUGGGCGCAAGCCUGAUCCAGCUAUGCCGCGUGAGUGAGGAAGGCCUUAGGGUUGUAAAACUCUUUCAGUGGGGAAGAUAAUGACGGUACCCACAGAAGAAGUCCCGGCAAACUCCGUGCCAGCAGCCGCGGUAAUACGGAGGGGGCAAGCGUUGUUCGGAAUUAUUGGGCGUAAAGGGCAUGUAGGCGGUUCGGUAAGUUAAAGGUGAAAUGCCAGGGCUUAACCCUGGAGCUGCUUUUAAUACUGCCAGACUCGAGUCCGGGAGAGGAUAGCGGAAUUCCUAGUGUAGAGGUGAAAUUCGUAGAUAUUAGGAGGAACACCAGUGGCGAAGGCGGCUAUCUGGUCCGGUACUGACGCUGAGGUGCGAAAGCCUGGGGAGCAAACAGGAUUAUAUACCCUGGUAGCCCGCGCUGUAAACAAAA
rnacentral:rRNA from 1 species